CACCUGAUGGCACAAGGUGUGCAUCUGCAGCUUAUAUGUGAAUAGGGGUAAGUGUUAUGCAGAAGUUCCCCGUUCGAUUCGGGGUCGGGUGA